GGUCUUAUAUUUACAUUUUGUAAUUAUAGAAUGCAAUUCUAUAGGGGCGGUGUUUGAUCGCUAAGGCUU
rnacentral:tRNA from 1 species